GAUGAACGCUAGCGGCAGGCUUAAUACAUGCAAGUCGAACGGUAAGUAUUUUAGCAAUAAGAUACGAGAGUGACGUACGGGUGCGUAACACGUAUGCAACCUACCUUGUACAGGAGGAUAGCUCGGGGAAACUCGAAUUAACCCUCCAUAAGAUCGUGGUGAGGCAUCUCACAGCGAAUAAAAUCUUAGGAGGUACAAGAUGGGCAUGCGUCUGAUUAGAGUUGGUGCGGGUAACG
rnacentral:rRNA from 1 species